rnacentral:rRNA from 1 species
UACGUAGGGUGCAAGCGUUAAUCGGAAUUACUGGGCGUAAAGCGUGCGCAGGCGGUUUGGUAAGACAGAUGUGAAAUCCCCGGGCUUAACCUGGGAAUUGCAUUUGUGACUGCCCGGCUAGAGUGUGUCAGAGGGGGGUAGAAUUCCACGUGUAGCAGUGAAAUGCGUAGAGAUGUGGAGGAAUACCGAUGGCGAAGGCAGCCCCCUGGGCCAACACUGACGCUCAUGCACGAAAGCGUGGGGAGCAAACAGG